UACGAAGGGUGCAAGCGUUAAUCGGAAUUACUGGGCGUAAAGGGUGCGUAGGCGGUUGUUUAAGUCUGUUGUGAAAUCCCCGGGCUCAACCUGGGAAUGGCGAUGGAUACUGGACAGCUAGAGUGUGUCAGAGGAUGGUGGAAUUCCCGGUGUAGCGGUGAAAUGCGUAGAGAUCGGGAGGAACAUCAGUGGCGAAGGCGGCCAUCUGGGACAACACUGACGCUGAAGCACGAAAGCGUGGGGAGCAAACAGG
rnacentral:rRNA from 1 species